AGAGAUGUGUGAUGACGCAUAUCAAUAAGCGGAGGAAAAGAAACUAACAAGGAUUCCCUUAGUAACGGCGAGCGAAGCGGGAAGAGCUCAAAUUUGAAAUCUUCAAGGUUCUACCUUGACGAAUUGUAGUUUAAAGAAGCGUUUUCUGUUGGAGUUUUGGUAAAAGUUCUUUGGAAUAGGACAUCAUAGAGGGUGAGAAUCCCGUAUUUGGUCAUUCCUCCUAGCGUUGUGAUACACUUUCAAGAGUCGGAUUGUUUGGGAAUGCAGUCCAAAAUGGGUGGUAAAUUUCAUCUAAAGCUAAAUAUUGGCGAGAGACCGAUAGCGAACAAGUACCGUGAGGGAAAGAUGAAAAGAACUUUGAAAAGAGAGUUAAACAGUACGUGAAAUUGUCAAAAGGGAAGCGCUUGACACCAGUGUUGUUCUUCCGAAAAUCAAUUACGAAUGUUUUGUUUUUGAAGAGUUAUGACUUCAUCGGCUUGCUUCUUUCUUUACGAAACUUUCUUAAUGCACUUUUCGGUUAACAAGUCAACAUCAAUUUCUUUUGUUGUAAAAGGGUAUCGAGGAAGGUGGCUUUCUUUUCGGAGAAAGUGUUUAUAGCCUUGUACCUCUGCAAUCGGAGAGAUUGAGGUCUGCAGCGUAGAUCCUUCGGGGUUAGAUACAUUUGUGCUAAGUUAUAGCUUUUCAUAGACAACUUGUUGACUAUGUUUAGUCUUGUAGCUUACUCGCUUAUGCUAUUUUACCUACGCUUAGGAUGUUGACGAUCAGCUGAGCGCG
rnacentral:rRNA from 1 species